UACCGAUCGAUACAUCUAUCGUGAAUCUCCCGCACUGCGGUGCGAUUGCGGAUAAUCACAGCGUAGCAGGGAGACUGAUAAACGGCUACCACAUACUAAGGAAGGCAGCAGGCGCGCAAAUUACCCACUCCCGGCCCGGGUAGCUAGUGAGAAAAAAUACUGUUGCGAGCCCCGAACGGGGCCUCGCAAUUGGAAUGAGUACACUUUAAAUCCUUGUACGAGGAUCGAGUGGAGGGCAAGUCUGGUGCCAGCCGCCGCGGUAAUUCCAGCUCCACUAGCGUAUAUUAAAGUUGUUGCGGUUGAAACGCUCGUAGUUUGACUUCUGCUCCGGACCGGCGGUCCGCCUUAACGGCGGCUACUGCCGGGUUCCGAGCUGUGUCCCCGCCGGCGCACAUGGGGUUUUUAUGCCCUUAACCGGGGGUCCCCUUGUGGCCUGCACGUUUACUUUGAAAAAAUUAGAAUGCUCACAGCAGGCUGGUUUUUGCUUAACCCCCGAAUGGUCGUGCAUGGAAUGAUGGAACAGGACCUCGGUUCUAUUUUGUCGGUUUUUCGGAGCACGAGGUAAUGAUUAAUAGAAUGAGACGGGACUUUUCCUACUGCGACCCUCGAGGUGAGAUUCUUAGAGCGUCCCAUGACGACCUAAUGCCAAAGCAUCUGCUAAGGAUGUUUUCUUUGAUCACUAACUCCCCGUAGAGGUUCGAAGGCGAUGCAUACCUGCUGCCUUCUAACCUUAAACGAUGCUGACUAGCGAUCCCCCGCAGUUAUUCCCAUGACCCGGCGGGUAGCUUCCGAUAACCAUUGUCUUUGAUUUCCUACGGACGAAGGUGGCAAAGCUGA
rnacentral:rRNA from 1 species